UCCGUAGGUGAACCUGCGGAGGGAUCAUUACACAAAUAUGAAGGCGGGCUGGAACCUCUCGGGGUUACAGCCUUGCUGAAUUAUUCACCCUUGUCUUUUGCGUACUUCUUGUUUCCUUGGUGGGUUCGCCCACCACUAGGACAAACAUAAACCUUUUGUAAUUGCAAUCAGCGUCAGUAACAAAUUAAUAAUUACAACUUUCAACAACGGAUCUCUUGGUUCUGGCAUCGAUGAAGAACGCAGCGAAAUGCGAUAAGUAGUGUGAAUUGCAAAAUUCAGUGAAUCAUCGAAUCUUUGAACGCACAUUGCGCCCUUUGGUAUUCCAAAGGGCAUGCCUGUUCGAGCGUCAUUUGUACCCUCAAGCUUUGCUUGGUGUUGGGCGUCUUGUCUCUAGCUUUGCUGGAGACUCGCCUUAAAGUAAUUGGCAGCCGGCCUACUGGUUUCGGAGCGCAGCACAAGUCGCACUCUCUAUCAGCAAAGGUCUAGCAUCCAUUAAGCCUUUUUUUCAACUUUUGACCUCGGAUCAGGUAGGGAUACCCGCUGAACUUAAGCAUAUCAAUAAGCGGAGGAA
rnacentral:rRNA from 1 species